rnacentral:rRNA from 1 species
AUUGAACGCUGGCGGCAUGCUUUACACAUGCAAGUCGAACGGUAACAGGCCGCAAGGUGCUGACGAGUGGCGAACGGGUGAGUAAUGCAUCGGAACGUGCCCAGUCGUGGGGGAUAACGCAGCGAAAGCUGCGCUAAUACCGCAUACGAUCUCUGGAUGAAAGCGGGGGACCGAAAGGCCUCGCGCGAUUGGAGCGGCCGAUGUCAGAUUAGGUAGUUGGUGGGGUAAAGGCCCACCAAGCCAACGAUCUGUAGCGGGUCUGAGAGGACGACCAGACACACGGGGACUGAGGAACGGCCGAGACUCCGACGGGAGGCAGCAGUGGGGAAUUUUGGAGAAUGGGCGCAAGCCUGAUCCAGCAAUACCGCGUGCAGGAAGAAGGCCUUCGGGUUGUAAACUGCUUUUGUACGGAACGAAACGGUCCGGGUUAAUACCCUGGGCUAAUGACGGUACCGUAAGAAUAAGCACCGGCUAACUACGUGCCAGCAGCCGCCGUAAGAC